GGAAGUAAAAGUCGUAACAAGGUUUCCGUAGGUAUGAAGAACCAGAACCCCAGCCGGUUUGCCUAUCGGAGACCCCCGCAGCGACUAUAAAUAUCUGCUUCCAGUCGGUCUUUUAGGCUGGCAACGUUAUCAAUCUGGGCUGGAAGCAUCCCUCGGGGUCUGACCAGCAGCUCCCACGGAGUUCACAGAUCAAACGAUAGUGGCCAUUCACCGUGGUUGAGAUAUGAUCGGCCCCAACUGCCAGAGCAGUUGGCGACCUCGCGGAACCUGCGGAAGGAUCAUUAUUGAGAGAGGGGCUUCGCGCCCCCGGGGGCUGCGGCCCCCAACUCUUUACCCUCUGUCUAUCUACCUUUGUUGCUUUGGCGGGCCCUAGGGUUUGCCCCAGGCCGGCUUCCGGCCUCCGCGCCCGGCUGGUAAGUGCUCGUCAAAGGGCCUAAUUAAACCCUUUUGUCAGUGAUGUCCGAGUAAAACUUAAAUAGUAAAAAACUUUCAACAACGGAUCUCUUGGUUCUGGCAUCGAUGAAGAACGCAGCGAAAUGCGAUAAGUAAUGUGAAUUGCAGAAUUCAGUGAAUCAUCGAAUCUUUGAACGCACAUUGCGCCCCUCGGCAUUCCGGGGGGCAUGCCUGUUCGAGCGUCAUUACUCCCUUCAAGCGUGGCUUGGUAUUGGGCCCUCGCCCUUUGGGCGUGCCCGAAAGUCAGUGGUGGUCCGGUGCGACUUCGAGCGUAGUAACAAUUCUCCCGCUUGGAAGCUUAUGCCGUGGCCCGCCAGGAAGACCCAAAUUCGUCCAACGAUUGACCUCGGAUCAGGUAGGGAUACCCGCUGA
rnacentral:rRNA from 1 species